GGUUGGUAGAACUUGUAAAGGAAUUAAGACAUAGUUUAUAAACUUAGUUUUGCUAUUUAGACUAAAAUUUAUUUAGAAACUAAAAAUACAUGGAAAGUCUUUUUGGAAAAUAAUUUCAAGUAAAAACAUUCUCUUCUUUCUUUUAUUUAUUUAUUUAUUAAAUAAUUUCAAGUAAAAACAUUCUCUUAUUUCUUUCUUUCUUUCUUCCUUCUUUCCUUCCAUUUAUUUAUUUAUUUAUUUAUUUAUUUAUUUAUUUAUUUAGGUUUUUCAAGACUGGGUUUCACUGUGUAGCUCUGGAUGUCCUGGAACUCACUCUGUAGACCGAGCUGGCCUUUAGCUCAGAGAUUGGUGUGCUUCUGUCCCCCUCCCCCCUCUAAAUGUUGGGAUUAAAGGUGUGAGCCAGCCACCACCAGCUAGCUUUUUAAAAUUUCUAUUCAUUAGAGCUUACACUAUUGAAACUGUCUCAUAAAACUUUCAGAUAAGAUUAUAUCUGCUGGUCAUGUGGCACCUGUAAUCCCAGCAGUCUAGAGAUGGAUGCAGGAAGACCAGGAGUUAAAUGCCAAUUUGAACUACAAAGUUCAAAGGCUAGACUGGGCUGCAUGAUACGCUUCUUUUUCUUUUUGUUUUUUGUUUGUUUGUUUGAGAUAGGGUUUCUUUUUGUAGCCUUUACUGCCCUAGAACUAUCUCUGUAGACUGGGCUGGCCUCAGACUCACAAAAUUGCCUUUCCAGGGCUAGGUGUCAUGAUAUACUGUAAUCCCAGUACAUGGGAGGCCAGGGAAGAGAAUACUGUGAAUUCAAGGUCAGUCUAGGCAACAUAGCCAAACCCUGUCUC
rnacentral:lncRNA from 1 species